GACGAACGCUGGCGGCGUGCCUAAUACAUGCAAGUUGAGCGCUGAAGGUUGGUACUUGUACCGACUGGAUGAGCAGCGAACGGGUGAGUAACGCGUGGGGAAUCUGCCUGUGAGCGGGGGACAACAUUUGGAAACGAAUGCUAAUACCGCAUAAAAACUUUAAACACAAGUUUUAAGUUUGAAAGAUGCAAUUGCAUCACUCAAAGAUGAACCCGCGUUGUAUUAG
rnacentral:rRNA from 1 species